AUCAAUCUUCAAUUCAACGUUGAGACCAGUGAUGCGGAAUGGAUGCGAUAAAACCGGCCUCUCUCCUCUCAUCCUAGCAACCCUCCAUUCUCACUUUAGAACGAAAGGCUACUCCAGAGAGGUUUUAGUUAUUGAUACAGUAAUACCUCAGAGUUUUCGUUCUCCAUCGAUCGUUUUUGUUAAUAUUAUUUCGUCAAAGUAUAUCAGGAAGAAAUAACUCAUAACUUUGUAGUUUUCGGUCUCCAUCCAUCCGUCUUUUCUGACUUUGUUUUCAUCAAAGUUUCUUUAAGAAGUAUAUAGCUCACAUUUUGUCCUUCAUCCAUCGUAGUUUCUUGAUCUGUUUCCUUUAGUUUAAUCACUCAUAUAUCACUCGAGGAUCCUCCGUCUUUAUCUUCUGAUCCAGGUCCCCUUUCUGACGUCACAAUGUCACAGCCUCUAUUCGUCCUCGUCCUCUGCUUUGUCACAUUAACUGUCUUAUUACCACGUGUGUCAGCCUCACCUUUAUAUCAUCUCAAUGCACUGUCACUGAGUGAGCCUGAUGCAACACAGUUUGAGGUCGAAACAAGAGGCCAUCAACCAGAAAGGAGAAAUCCUUUAUUAUCAGGUAAAUCUCGUAUGUGCUUCGCUUCUGCCAGUCUUGUUUGCGUGUGUGAUUUACAAGGACGACUUAAGGGCUGUUUCAGGGGACCUUCGGCUGUGAUGGCCAUCCGAGGGAUCGGUGUAUGAUCAGGACUCUACAAUCAACACUUAUCUACUGAAUUCUCUAAUUCCAAAAGGCUUCAUGAAGGGGACAAUGGGUUUCUUUACGGAACAGGACGAUAACUCAAUGACAAUAUCGAGCUUUUAUAAUGUACAUUGUGAUUUCCCGAGGUUAACCCGACAUAUCACCACAUGUGAAAUACGGGAUAUCAUCUAGUGUACCACAUC